rfam:Cicer arietinum chromosome Ca2, whole genome shotgun sequence.
GAGAUAUGAUGAGCUUAACAUUGGUCCGUGUUUCUGAAUCACUGUGCAGACAACUCUUACCAAUUUCUGAUCUC